rnacentral:misc_RNA from 1 species
CUAAUUUUUAUGAGUCAAAUUUUCACUGCAUACUAAACAUUAUUGCCAUCCACCCAUCAAUUUUUUUUCUCCUUUUUCUUUUUAUAAUUUUUCACCUUUUCUUAUAUAUGGUUUUUCUCCUUUUUCAUAUGUUUGUUUUCCAAUUCUUGAGAAAUCUCAAAAUGGAGCACGAUGAGGAAUACCCUUUCUUCUCCUUGCAUUGCGGUGAUUAUAAAUGGGAGGAGUAGAUGGAGAUAGGUUGGUAGUGGCCUCAUCUCCCGAGUUAAAUUCAUUGCUAUGCCCAUCUGAAGAAUAAAUUGUUAGUCCAUCCAUCAACCGGUUGAAAGCAUGUGUCUUUCUAAUCUUCUUUGGGGUAGAGGACUCAUCGGAUUCAGACUCACCAAGGAAAGGAUCCCGAUUGUGCUUCACCCUCAGUGUAAAUGUCAGGUCUGGGUCACCCCGCUUCAUGCCUCCAAGCUUGCAUCCAAGAGAACAGAAUCUGAAGGAAUCAAGGAGGCUUCUGCAACAAAUCUCGCAAGUGUUGGUGACGCCUUUUCCCGGCCUUGGCUGAGGUCGCUCAUUCAGGAACACGAUUUUGGCGCUAUUGAUAAUAUAAGUCUGGACGCAAGAUAUAUCUAUGUACUUCUGUAUUUCAUUCACCCUCACCACGUUAUGGUAUGAAGAUCGCCUUAUCUGAACAACACGGUGAUCUUUAUGAUCGAUCAAACAAUAAGAGCAGAGGGUAUUACCCAUACAAUCUAAACAAAACAUAUUACAUUCGCUUUUAUUAGAAUCCCCAUGAACUGCACAGGGGAUGAAAUAGCUGGCUCUCAGCAUUGGUCGCAACCAUGGCGGACCUAAAUCCUGCUUGCCCAUUUGCCCAAAUGGACUCACCAUGAUUUUCUCAAUAAGCGCUCAAAAAUGAAAUACGCUAACCUCCUGCUGCUGUUGAUUAUCGAGAAAGGUGAACCAAACCCUUCAAGAUUUGAUCGAAUCUGGAAGCAAAGAGUAAAACAAUCCUUUUUCAGAAUGGAGCCGCCGUACGGAAGACAGUGAGAUGGAUUGGCAAAGAGACGCAGAUGAAUGUUGGAGCUGAGCAGAGAGAGCGUACUAUAUAAUAUGUAUGUCUGAGCUAUUAGGGAAACGCAGAAGGGAAAACCUAAAGAUGGAAAGAAAUUUAUGAGGCGGUCGUAAAAAAAGCAAAUAAA